GAUGAACGCUGGCGGCGUGCCUAAUACAUGCAAGUCGAGCGAACAGACGAGGAGCUUGCUCCUCUGACGUUAGCGGCGGACGGGUGAGUAACACGUGGAUAACCUACCUAUAAGACUGGGAUAACUUCGGGAAACCGGAGCUAAUACCGGAUAAUAUAUUGAACCGCAUGGUUCAAUAGUGAAAGACGGUUUUGCUUUCACUUAUAGAUGGAUCCGCGCCGCAUUAGCUAGUUGGUAAGGUAACGGCUUACCAAGGCAACGAUGCGUAGCAGACCUGAGAGGGUGAUCGGCCACGCUGGAACUGAGACACGGUCCAGACUCCUACGGGAGGCAGCAGUAGGGAAUCUUCCGCAAUGGGCGAAAGCCUGACGGAGCAACGCCGCGUGAGUGAUGAAGGUCUUCGGAUCGUAAAACUCUGUUAUUAGGGAAGAACAAAUGUGUAAGUAACUAUGCACGUCUUGACGGUACCUAAUCAGAAAGCCACGGCUAACUACGUG
rnacentral:rRNA from 1 species